CCAGACUCCUACGGGAGGCAGCAGUGAGGAAUAUUGGUCAAUGGCCGGAAGGCUGAACCAGCCAAGCCGCGUGAAGGACGAAGGUGCCAAGCAUUGUAAACUUCUUUUGUCAAGGGACAAAAUCAGGCUCGAGAGCCUGACCGAGGGUACUUGAAGAAAAAGCAUCGGCUAACUCCGUGCCAGCAGCCGCGGUAAUACGUAGGGGGCAAGCGUUAUCCGGAUUUACUGGGUGUAAAGGGAGUGUAGGUGGCAUAACAAGUCAGAAGUGAAAGCCCGGGGCUCAACCGCGGGACUGCUUUUGAAACUGUUAAGCUUGAGUGCAGGAGAGGUAAGCGGAAUUCCUAGUGUAGCGGUGAAAUGCGUAGAUAUUAGGAGGAACAUCGGUGGCGAAGGCGGCUUACUGGGCUUUUACUGACGCUGAGGCUCGAAAGCGUGGGGAGCAAACAGGAUUAGAUACCCCCGUA
rnacentral:rRNA from 1 species